AGCUUUGUGCAGUGGCAAUAUUGUAGCCAAUGAGGUUUAUCCGAGGCAUGAUUAUUGCUAAGAAAAAAAGACA
rnacentral:snRNA from 1 species